CGUUUUCAAAAAAGCUGGGCCCAAAUGUGCGUUUGGUAACUUCAAAACGCAACUUUUAUAAAAAAGUUGCGUUUUGAACUUUUAGAAAAGCUGAAGGGAAAACGCGCAACGGAAAUGGAGGCUCCCUGGUCCAUAAAUCAAAACGCGCACAGCGCGUUUUGUUAUAUUACCGUUGCAAAGAUGGAAAGACCGAAAUACCCACACAUUUUCUGUGCGCGUUGUGCCCCUCAUCUCUCAUCUCUGCUCUCCCUUCGCAUUUGACGCCUCCAUCUGUUCUCUCUGCCGUGCUCUGCCUUCGUACCAAAAACACUGAUCUGCUACCAAAAACCAGAUGGGUAAAAACACAACUUCCAACCCCGAGGCAAAAAAGGCUAGAGCAUUAUGGGACAAUAAUUCAAGCU